UUCCAGACUCCUACGGGAGGCAGCAGUAGGGAAUCUUUCACAAUGGGCGAAAGCCUGAUGGAGCAACGCCGCGUGCAGGAUGAAGGCCUUCGGGUUGUAAACUGCUUUUAUAAGCGAGAAAUAUGAUGGUAACUUAUGAAUAAGGAUCGGCUAACUACGUGCCAGCAGCCGCGGUAAUACGUAGGGAGCAAGCGUUGUCCGGAAUUACUGGGUGUAAAGGGAGCGUAGGCGGGAGGAUAAGUUGAAUGUGAAAUCUAUGGGCUCAACCCAUAGCUGCGUUCAAAACUGUUCUUCUUGAGUGAAGUAGAGGCAGGCGGAAUUCCUAGUGUAGCGGUGAAAUGCGUAGAUAUUAGGAGGAACACCAGUGGCGAAGGCGGCCUGCUGGGCUUUUACUGACGCUGAGGCUCGAAAGCGUGGGUAGCAAACAGGAUUAGAUACCCCAGUAGU
rnacentral:rRNA from 1 species